rnacentral:tRNA from 1 species
GGAGGGCCGCAUAGUCGGCGUGCUUAUCGGUCUUGAAAACCGUGAUGACGGAAACGUUGUAAGGGUUCGACCCCCUUGCCCUCCUCCA